rnacentral:rRNA from 1 species
UACGAAGGGGGGCGAGCGUUGUUCGGAUUUACUGGGCGUAAAGGGCGCGCAGGCGGCUUUGUUUGUCAGGCGUGAAAGCCCCCGGGCUUAACCUGGGAACUGCGUUUGAUACGGCAGGGCUAGAGUUCGGGAGAGGAGAGUGGAAUUCCCAGUGUAGAGGUGAAAUUCGUAGAUAUUGGGAAGAACACCGGUGGCGAAGGCGGCUCUCUGGACCGAGACUGACGCUGAGGGCGCGAAAAGCGUGGGGGAGCAAAACGGGG